UUUUAUUUGAGAGUUUGAUCCUGGCUCAGGAUGAACGCUGGCGGCGUGCCUAACACAUGCAAGUUGAGCGAUUUACUUCGGUAAAGAGCGGCGGACGGGUGAGUAACGCGUGGGUAACCUACCCUGUACACACGGAUAACAUACCGAAAGGUAUGCUAAUACGGGAUAAUAUAUUUGAGAGGCAUCUCUUGAAUAUCAAAGGUGAGCCAGUACAGGAUGGACCCGCGUCUGAUUAGCUAGUUGGUAAGGUAACGGCUUACCAAGGCGACGAUCAGUAGCCGACCUGAGAGGGUGAUCGGCCACAUUGGAACUGAGACACGGUCCAAACUCCUACGGGAGGCAGCAGUGGGGAAUAUUGCACAAUGGGCGAAAGCCUGAUGCAGCAACGCCGCGUGAGUGAUGAAGGCCUUCGGGUCGUAAAACUCUGUCCUCAAGGAAGAUAAUGACGGUACUUGAGGAGGAAGCCCCGGCUAACUACGUGCCAGCAGCCGCGGUAAUACGUA
rnacentral:rRNA from 1 species